AUAGCGUAUAUUAAAGUUGUUGCAGUUAAAAAGCUCGUAGUUGAACCUUGGGCCUGGCUGGCCGGUCCGCCUCACGGCGUGUACUGUCGGCUGGGGCCUUCCCUCUUGGUGAACCCUCAUGCCCUUUAUUGGGUGUGGGGGGGAACCAGGACUUUUACUUUGAAAAAAUUAGAGUGUUCAAAGCAGGCCUAUGCCCGAAUACAUUAGCAUGGAAUAAUAAAAUAGGACGUGCGGUUCUAUUUUGUUGGUUUCUAGGAUCGCCGUAAUGAUUAAUAGGGAUAGUUGGGGGCAUUAGUAUUCAGUUGCUAGAGGUGAAAUUCUUGGAUUUACUGAAGACUAACUACUG
rnacentral:rRNA from 1 species